rnacentral:tRNA from 1 species
AGGUGCAUAGUUCAAUUGGUAGAACGGACGGGAAGCAAGAACUGUAAGAAUGGGGGUUCGAAUCCUUCGGCACCUG